AACAGAAUACACUUUUUUCUCAAGUGCACAUGGAACAUUCUCAGGAUAGAUUGCAUCUUAGGCCACAAAACAAAACUCAAAAUUUAGAAAGAUUGGAAUCAUAUGAAGCAUCUUUUCUGACCACUGUCAGAAAAGCCACCAAAAUGUGGAGAUUAAAUGUGCUACUGAAAAACCAUUAGCUUGACAAAGAAAUCAAAAAAGAAAUGAGAAAAUACCCUGAAACAAAUAAAGAUGGGAGUAGAACAUUGCAAAAUCUAUGGGAUACAACAAAAGCCGUUUUAAAAGGGAAGUUUAUAGUGAUACAGGCCACCUAAAGAAACAGGAAAAACAUCAAACAAUCUUAAUUUUCACUUAAAACAAUUUGAAAAAGAAGAGUAAAUGGAAGCCCAAAGUUGAAGGCAUGAAAUAUAGUAAAGAUCGGGGGAGAUAAAUGCAAUAGAGAUUAAAAAAAAAAAAAAAAACAGAAAAGAUUAGUAAGGUUAAGAGCUAGUUCACUGAAAAGAUAAAAUACGGGAUGCCUGAGUGACUCAGAGAUUGAGCGUCCUUCUUUGCCUCAGGGUGUGAUCUAGGAGUCCCAGGAUUGAGUCCUGCAUCACAUCGGGCUUCCUGCUUGGAGCCUGCUUCUGCCUCUGCCUAUGUCUCUGCCUCUCCCCUCUGUGUCUCUCAUGAAUAAAUAAAUAAAAAUCUUAAAAAAAAAGAUAAGAUAAAAUAUACUCAAACUCUAUAGAAAAGAAAAAUAGAGGGCUCAAAUAAAAUCAGAAAUGAAAGAGAAGUUACAACUGAAACCACAGAAAUACAAAGGAUCUUAAAAGACUGCCAUGAACAAUUUUAUGCCAACAGUCUGACAACCUAGAAGAAAUAGAUCUAUUCCUAGAAAUAUAAUCUUCUGGACUGAAUCAUGAAAAAAUAAAAAAUUUGAAUAGGUUUAUUAUUAGUAAGGAGAUUGAAUUGCUAAUGAAAAAACUCCCCACAAACAAAAGCCCAGGACCAAAUAGGUCCACUGAUGAAUUCCACCAAAUAUUUAGAGCAAAUUUACUACCUGUCCUUCUCAGAUUCUUCCCCAAAAUUGAAGAAAGAAUACUUCCAAACUCAUGAGGCCAGCAUUACCUUGAUAUCAAUACCAGAGAAAGACACAGUAAACAGAAAAUUACAGGCCAGUAUUUCUGAUGAACUUAGUUGUAAAAAUCCUCAACACCAUAUUAGCAAGCCAAAUUCAAUAAUACCUUAAAAGGAUCAUACACCAUGGUCAAAGAGCUUUAUUUCGGGUAUACAAAGGUAGUUCAGUAGCCACAAGUCAAUCAGUGUGAUACACCAUAUUAACAAAAAGAAGGAUAAAAAUUAUAUCAUUUCAAUAGGUACAGAAAAAGUAUUUGACAGAAUUCGACAUCCAUUUGCGAUAAAACUCUCAACAAAGUGGGAAUAGAGGGUAUGUACAUCAACAUAAUAAAUGCCAUAUAUGACAAAUUCACAGCCAACAGCAUACUCAAUAGUGAAAAGCCGGAAGCUUUUCUUGUAAGAUCAGGAACAAGACAAAGAUUCCUACUCUUGCCACUUUUAAUCAACAUAGAAUAGAAGCCCUAGCUGCAGCAAUUAGGCAAGAAAAAAAAAAA
rnacentral:lncRNA from 1 species